GGGUGCACCAGGCGCGAAAACUUUACAAUGCCGGCAACGGCGAUAAGGGAACCUCGAGUGCCAGGUUACAAAUCUGGCUGUCGUGAUGCCUAAAAAGCAUUGCAUAGCAAGGGCCGGGCAAGACCGGUGCCAGCCGCCGCGGUAACACCGGCGGCUCGAGUGGUAACCGUUAUUAUUGGGUCUAAAGGGUCUGUAGCCGGCCGGAUAAGUCUCUUGGGAAAUCUGGCAGCUUAACUGUCAGGCUUUCAGGAGAUACUGUCUGGCUCGAGGCCGGGAGAGGUGAGAGGUACUUCAGGGGUAGGGGUGAAAUCUUGUAAUCCUUGAAGGACCACCAGUGGCGAAGGCGUCUCACCAGAACGGACCUGACGGCAAGGGACGAAAGCUAGGGGCACGAACCGGAUUAGAUACCCGGGUAGUCCUAGCCGUAAACGAUACUCGCUAGGUGUCGGCCACGGUGCGACCGUGGUCGGUGCCGUAGGGAAGCCGUGAAGCGAGCCACCUGGGAAGUACGGCCGCAAGGCUGAAACUUAAAGGAAUUGGCGGGGGAGCACAAGGGCGAUUCGCGG
rnacentral:rRNA from 1 species